CCUUGGGCCUCACAUAUUUGUCCCUUCUGCUCAUCCCUGCUGCAGGUGCCUCCUCCUGCCCCCGCACUCCACUCCCAGCCAUGGCUCCCCUUCCCCAGUGAAACAUGCCCGAGACAAGUGGACAACAGAGGCCGAGACGGUGCUCUGCGUGUGGCCGGGACGCCUGACGCUCAGCCCCCUGACUGCCUUUUCCGACGCCGCCUUUAGCCAUUGCGCGCAGCCGCUCGCCCUGCGGGACCUGGCCGUGGUUUACACGCUCGGGCCGGCCUCCUUCCUCGUCAGCCUGGCUUCCUGCCUGGCGCUGGGCUCUGGGCUCACCGCCUGCCGUGCGCGCCGCCGCCGCCUCCGCACCGCCGCCCUCCGCCCGCCGAGACCGCCAGACCCGAACCCCGAUCCCGACCCCCACGGCUGUGCCUCGCCCGCGGACCCGGGGAGCCCCGCCGCUGCCGCCCAAGCCUGA
rnacentral:lncRNA from 1 species